rnacentral:rRNA from 1 species
CAGUAGCCGCGGUAAUACGUAGGGUGCAAGCGUUAAUCGGAAUUACUGGGCGUAAAGCGUGCGCAGGCGGUUUGUUAAGACAGAUGUGAAAUCCCCGGGCUUAACCUGGGAACUGCAUUUGUGACUGGCAAGCUAGAGUAUGGCAGAGGGGGGUGGAAUUCCGCGUGUAGCAGUGAAAUGCGUAGAUAUGCGGAGGAACACCGAUGGCGAAGGCAGCCCCCUGGGCCAAUACUGACGCUCAUGCACGAAAGCGUGGGGAGCAAACAGGAUUAGAUACCCCGGUAGUCCCUGUCUCUUAUAA